rnacentral:rRNA from 1 species
CUCUACUUUCAUACUUCCUAGAACACACCUGUUCUCGUCUGAUCUCAGAAGCUAAGCAGGGUUGGGCCUAGUUAGUACUUGGGUGGGAGAUAGCAGCACAGGCCAUAGCUAAGU